rnacentral:lncRNA from 1 species
AAAUGACAUAUUGGUUUUAGAGUGCUUAACAAAGGUUAUGAGAUUAUUACUUACCUUUUGUUGCAAUGCGUCCAGAUAGCAGUUAUUUGAUGUAUCACUAGAAUAUUUCUCUCUGCUUUGUGUUGACUUUACAGUCAUGUUACCUUUUCUAAUGCUAAUUUUAAAAUAUUUGCUUGUCAUUUUGGUUACAUAAGUGUAACUGAGUAUUACUUCUUGGGCAUAUAACACUAUUUAAUGGAGUAACCAGUGGCAACUCUUGCUUUUGCCUUCCAAAAAUAGAAUCUUAAAAAAAAAUUUUUAAGUCAGUUUUAAAAUCAGGUAUUUGAUUUUUUCCAACUGAGUUGUAGGGGUUCCUUAUAUAUUUUGAAAGUUAACCCAUUUAACCCAUUAUGGCAUGAGCUCAGUAGAGGUAUUGUCCCUUCUUUUGGUCACUGGUGGUUGUCAGAAGUAAACUUUGCAGUAGCAGCUCUUACCUUCUUUCACAGCCUCUCUGUUUAAUGAUUCAAGCAACUCUCUUCGCUUGAGUAAAGAAAUCAGAUAUGGUUUGUAUUGGGCUAGGAAAAUAGAUUAUUAGCUAACUGAGAGGCCAAUCAUGUUUCUCUACAUCAUCUAGAUCCAACCUUUUAUUUUCCUUCGUCAUUAUAUAACUUUUUUUGUGUGUGUGAUAGAGU